AACGAACGCUGGCGGCAUGCCUAACACAUGCAAGUCGAACGAGACCUUCGGGCCUAGUGGCGCACGGGUGCGUAACGCGUGGGAACCUGCCCUUAGGUUCGGAAUAACUCCCCGAAAGGGGUGCUAAUACCGGAUAAUGUCUUCGGACCAAAGAUUUAUCGCCUUUGGAUGGGCCCGCGUUGGAUUAGCUAGUUGGUAGGGUAAAAGCCUACCAAGGCGACGAUCCAUAGCUGGUCUGAGAGGAUGAUCAGCCACACUGGGACUGAGACACGGCCCAGACUCCUACGGGAGGCAGCAGUGGGGAAUAUUGGACGAGGGGCGAAAGCCUGAUCCAGCAAUGCCGCGUGAGUGAUGAAGGCCGUAGGGUUGUAAAGCUCUUUUACCCGGGAUGAUAAUGACAGUACCGGGAGAAUAAGCACCGGCUAACUCCGUG
rnacentral:rRNA from 1 species